rnacentral:tRNA from 1 species
GGAAAGGUGCAGGAGUGGUUUAACUGGCACGCCUGGAGAGCGUGUGUUCCGGCACAACCGGAACCGAGGGUUCGAAUCCCUCCCUUUCCGCCA